CUGGAUGCUUGAGAUCGAAACCAUAAUUUUUAGUAUUAUACAUUAUAAAGCUUGGCUUGGCACAUCUCAACGGGCCACGGGCCUCUCCUAGCCUAUCCCUCCAAAGAGGAGAAAAAGCUAAUAUGCCGUAAGAUCGACAUGUCUAUCAUAGACCAACUUGUGGCAUGGCAAGAGGUUAAUUUCAACGAGAGACUAAUUGUCAGGC
rnacentral:lncRNA from 1 species